GACGAACGCUGGCGGCGUGCUUAACACAUGCAAGUCGAACGGAAAGGCCCUUCGGGGUACUCGAGUGGCGAACGGGUGAGUAACACGUGGGUGAUCUGCCCUGCACUUUGGGAUAAGCCUGGGAAACUGGGUCUAAUACCGAAUAGGACCACGCGCUUCAUGGUGUGUGGUGGAAAGCUUUUGCGGUGUGGGAUGGGCCCGCGGCCUAUCAGCUUGUUGGUGGGGUAAUGGCCUACCAAGGCGACGACGGGUAGCCGGCCUGAGAGGGUGACCGGCCACACUGGGACUGAGAUACGGCCCAGACUCCUACGGGAGGCAGCAGUGGGGAAUAUUGCACAAUGGGCGCAAGCCUGAUGCAGCGACGCCGCGUGAGGGAUGACGGCCUUCGGGUUGUAAACCUCUUUCAAUAGGAACGAAGCGCAAGUGACGGUACCUAUAGAAGAAGCACCGGCCAACUACGUG
rnacentral:rRNA from 1 species